rnacentral:rRNA from 1 species
AGAGUUUGAUCCUGGCUCAGGAUGAACGCUAGCGGGAGGCCUAACACAUGCAAGCCGAGCGGUAUUUGUCUUUCGGGACAGAGAGAGCGGCGUACGGGUGCGUAACACGUGUGCAACCUACCUUUAUCUGGGAGAUAGCCUUUCGAAAGGAAGAUUAAUAUCCCAUAAUAUAUUGACUGGCAUCAGUUGAUAUUGAAAGCUCCGGCGGAUAGAGAUGGGCACGCGCAAGAUUAGAUAGUUGGUGAGGUAACGGCUCACCAAGUCUGUGAUCUUUAGGGGUCCUGAGAGGGAGAUCCCCCACACUGGUACUGAGACACGGACCAGACUCCUACGGGAGGCAGCAGUGAGGAAUAUUGGACAAUGGGUGAAAGCCUGAUCCAGCCAUCCCGCGUGAAGGAUGACGGUCCUAUGGAUUGUAAACUUCUUUUGUACAGGGAUAAACCUACCCUCGUGAGGGUAGCUGAAGGUACUGUACGAAUAAGCACCGGCUAACUCCGUGCCAGCAGCCGCGGUAAUACGGAGGGUGCAAGCGUUAUCCGGAUUUAUUGGGUUUAAAGGGUCCGUAGGCGGACCUGUAAGUCAGUGGUGAAAUCUCAUAGCUUAACUAUGAAACUGCCAUUGAUACUGCAGGUCUUGAGUAAAUUUGAAGUGGCUGGAAUAAGUAGUGUAGCGGUGAAAUGCAUAGAUAUUACUUAGAACACCAAUUGCGAAGGCAGGUCACUAAGAUUUAACUGACGCUGAUGGACGAAAGCGUGGGUAGCGAACAGGAUUAGAUACCCUGGUAGUCCACGCCGUAAACG